rnacentral:rRNA from 1 species
UACGUAGGUGGCGAGCGUUGUCCGGAUUUACUGGGCGUAAAGGGCGUGCAGGCGGUUUGUUAAGUGCAGGGUGAAAGCUCCCGGCUCAACUGGGAGAGGUCCUUGCAUACUGGCGAACUCGAGGGAGGCAGAGGAAGUGGAAUUCCCGGUGUAGUGGUGAUAUGCGUAGAUAUCAGGAGGAACACCGGUGGCGAAGGCGGCUUUCUGGGCCUUACCUGACGCUGAGGAGCGAAAGCUGGGGGAGCAAACAGG